GGAUUCGUGCCUGAACGCUAGAGGACUACUUUGAUGAAGUAGAAAAUGGGAGUUAAAAUCCCCCCGAAUCCU
rnacentral:tRNA from 1 species